rnacentral:rRNA from 1 species
UCCUACGGGAGGCAGCAGUGGGGAAUUUUCCGCACUGGGCGAAAGCCUGACGGAGCAAUACCGCGUGAGGGAGGAAGGCUCUUGGGUUGUAAACCUCUUUUCUCAGGGAAGAACAAAAUGACGGUACCUGAGGAAUAAGCAUCGGCUAACUCCGUGCCAGCAGCCGCGGUAAUACGGAGGAUGCAAGCGUUAUCCGGAAUUAUUGGGCGUAAAGCGUCCGCAGGUGGCAGUUCAAGUCUGCUGUCAAAGGUCAGGGCUCAACCCUGAACAGGCAGUGGAAACUGAACAGCUAGAGUGCGGUAGGGGCAGAGGGAAUUCCCAGUGUAGCGGUGAAAUGCGUAGAGAUUGGGAAGAACACCGGUGGCGAAAGCGCUCUGCUAGGCCUGUACUGACACUCAGGGACGAAAGCUAGGGGAGCGAAUGGGAUUAGAUACCCCAGUAGUCCUAGCCGUAAACGAUGGAUACUAGGCGUAGCUUGUAUCGACCCAAGCUGUGCCGUAGCUAACGCGUUAAGUAUCCCGCCUGGGGAGUACGCGCGCAAGCGUGAAACUCAAAUGAAUUGACGG